UACGUAGGGGGCAAGCGUUGUCCGGAUUUAUUGGGCGUAAAGAGCGUGUAGGCGGUUUUACAGGUCUGCUGUGAAAACUCGAGGCUCAACCUCGAGACGCCGAUGGAAACCAUCUGACUAGAGUCCGGAAGAGGAGAGUGGAAUUCCUGGUGUAGCGGUGAAAUGCGCAGAUAUCAGGAAGAACACCCGUGGCUAAGGCGGCUCUCUAGUACGUGACUGACGCUGAGACGCGAAAGCGUGGGGAGCGAACGGG
rnacentral:rRNA from 1 species